rnacentral:rRNA from 1 species
GACAGAGGCCCCAAGCGUUAGGCGGAAUCACUGGGCUUAAAGCGUGUGUAGGCGGAUCGUUAAGUGUCUUGUGAAAUCCCACGGCUCACCCGUGGAACUGCUGGGCAUACUGGCGAUCUUGGGCCAACUAGGGGCAGUCGGAACAAGCGGUGGAGCGGUGAAAUGCGUAGAUAUCGCUUGGAACGCCGAAGGUGAAAACAGACUGCUGGGGUUGCGCCGACGCUGAGACACGAAAGCCAGGGGAGCAAACGGA